GAUGAACGCUGGCGGCGUGCUUAACACAUGCAAGUCGAACGGAAACGCUCUUGCUUGCAGGGCUACUCGAGUGGCGAACGCGUGAGUAACACGUGGGUGAUCUGCCCUGCACUUCGGGAUAAGCCUGGGAAACUGGGCCUAAUCCCGGAUAGGACGCUGGUUUGGAUGCCAUUGUGGAAAGUUUCUUCGGUUUGGGCUGAGCUCGGGGCCUAUCAGCUUGUUGGUGGGGUAAUGGCCUACCAACGCCUCGACGGGUAGCCGGCCUGUGAGGGUGUACGGCCACAUUGGGACUGAGAUACGGCCCAGACUCCUACGGGAGGCAGCAGUGGGGAAUAUUGCACAAUGGGCGCAAGCCUGAUGCAGCGACGCCGCGUGGGGGAUGACGGCCUUCGGGUUGUAAACUCCUUUCGCUAGGGACGAAGCGCAAGUGACGGUACCUGGAGAAGAAGCACCGGCUAACUACGUG
rnacentral:rRNA from 1 species